rnacentral:rRNA from 1 species
GAUGAACGCUGGCGGCGUGCUUAACACAUGCAAGUCGAACGGAAAGGCCCAAGCUUGCUUGGGUACUCGAGUGGCGAACGGGUGAGUAACACGUGGGUGAUCUGCCCUGCACUUCGGGAUAAGCCUGGGAAACUGGGUCUAAUACCGGAUAGGACCACAUUCUGGAUGGUGUGGUGGAAAGUUUUUCGGUGUGGGAUGAGCUCGCGGCCUAUCAGCUUGUUGGUGGGGUAAUGGGCUACCAAGGCGUCGGCGGGUAGCCGGCCUGGGAGGGUGUACGGCCACAUUGGGACUGAGGUACGGGCCAGACUCCUACGGGGGGCAGCAGUGGGGAAUAUUGCACAAUGGGCGCAAGCCUGAUGCAGCGACGCCGCGUGGGGGAUGACGGCCUUCGGGUUGUAAACUCCUUUCGCUAGGGACGAAGCGUUAUGUGACGGUACCUGGAGAAGAAGCACCGGCUAACUACGUG